CGGAGCUAUUUUUGCUGUCAAGAUUUGCUACCGAUGGAAUAUGGGUAUAAAUAUCCCUCCGACCUGAGACCGCCACAGUGACUUGCAAGCAACUUACUGCACUUAGGCACUGGACUACCUAAAUUUUUAAUUUAGUGACGGAAGGCUGCUGGGUGUAGUCAAAUACUUGACUUGUCGGUGCGUGUGUCAAGAUGGGAUUGACCACUCCAGUUUAGGAGCUGUGUACAGUCGUAUUUCAAUUUAGCAAAAUCUUGGCCAGGGUAGUCCUUGUGAGGAGUCACAGGACUGUUUGAGUUGAGCACGAUUUGGAUGAUCUGAUCAGGGUUGACAGUUUAACCCUGAGUCAUCCUAAACACAGGGGUCAAAAGGAUGAAUUAUACAGUAACCAUAUUCAUGUAGGUUCUGAGUGUUGCGAUUGUGACUCUUCGACCUAUCCGGAUGUCGAGUACCAUUGCUAGAUGGUCACUUCGAUUAGUACAGGAAUUGGUUCCUGUGCUAUCAGCUUAGGUUCGAACCUGUGGGGUCACACACAUUAGAGAUUUCUAUCUGAUCUGAUGGCUGAUGUAGAAUCCUACAUGUUUGGGACUCAGUGAUCGAGAAUCAGGAUUCUCUGAUCAUGAGUUCCACACAUUAUGGGUACAGGGGUCAAGAGUCCCACUGGUUGGGAUUUUUCGAUCAGGGUUACAUAUCGAUGAAUUCUGAUGCCUGAUUGCCCAUCAAAUUUGGACUCAGUAUUUAUGAGAGAUUUAAUUAGUAAUUUGAU
rnacentral:lncRNA from 1 species